CCUCACAUGCCCUCCAGCACGGCUCAGAUACACUCCUCACAUCUCCUCCCUUCACCUCCCACCUUCGUGGAAGGGCUUUGUUGGCUACUCCAGACAAUCCGGGGCAUUGUGAUUGCACACACUCAGAGAACCUAGCAAGGUGAACUAAGAAGGAAGCCUCCUGAAGAGCGCUCCCGUGGUUAAGCUACGGAUAUGGAGACUUAAGUUCUAACCACUGAGUAAGCCACUUACUUCAUAGAAAGGUCCGUCUGCAAAUGAGAAUUGUGAUUCCCGCCUCCUAAGAUUCACGUGAAGGUUGAAUGAGAGACUGCUAGCCUCCUGAUGCACUUCCAACUUGAGAGAUUUGUUCUGUACCUUACUCCUCCCUGUUCUUCCCACGAGGCUUUGUUGGGGUAGAAGAGGCUUUCAACGAUCCAAUGAGCUCUCUUUGGAAGGACAUGGGGAUCAGACUGUUGUAUAACACAGACAAUGGCAAAAUGUGGAAUCAUCCAAAAAUUUACCAGCGAGCCACAGAAAUCCUUACUUAGUCAAUAUAAUUGAAGAAUGAAAGAUCAGAACAAGUCAACGUAUUCGUUGGGUGAUCAUACAGAAGGCACAAAUCACCUGCACACCAGCAGUUUACCUAAAGCCUAAAUACGGUCAAAGGUCCCAUCUCUGGAGAGCACAUCGGACAUUUGUGACCCUGACUCAGAGAGCAUGAGAGCAAAGGUCAGCUGCGGAAGGACAGGGGUCUCUCAACGGAUGCUGACUCUGGGUUCCUCCCUGUGACAGAGAGGUCUAUUUCCAGGAGUUGCUGAUAUUACGUUUUCCUGUUAACUUGAACUUCUUUAUUAGAUCAGACUAUAUAUGAGAUAUACAGUAUGGCCGUUUUUGUAAAUCAAAAAUUGUAAAGAUAAGCAGUUUUAUACGAUCGCACCGAUUUUUUUUUUUUGUAUUGAUGCAACAUUCAAAACCAUUUGACUUCUCCAGUGGUCCAAACCUCGUUGUCCAAUACUGCCACCCGAAAACACUUAGAGAACAUGGGGAGGCGAGGUGCGGGUGGGGGGAGCCAAAGGAUCCUUGAUGUGCAAUCAAUGGCAUGCUGGUAAGUAAAAUCGUGUAGGGGAGGGGCAACUCUGAGGGAGCAGGGCAACUCUGACUGGUCAAUGUAUGUGUAAUGCUUCCUCCUCCUGUGUCCAAGUCAGUGUGUCCCCUCAAGGUCACUGAACAGAGUUAGACACACAUGUUUGCUGU